rnacentral:rRNA from 1 species
AUUGAACGCUGGCGGCAUGCCUUACACAUGCAAGUCGAACGGCAGCACGGGAGCAAUCCUGGUGGCGAGUGGCGAACGGGUGAGUAAUAUAUCGGAACGUGCCCAGUCGUGGGGGAUAACGUAGCGAAAGCUACGCUAAUACCGCAUACGAACGAUGGAUGAAAGCGGGGGAUCGCAAGACCUCGCGCGAUUGGAGCGGCCGAUAUCAGAUUAGGUAGUUGGUGAGGUAAAGGCUCACCAAGCCGACGAUCUGGAGCUGGUCUGAGAGGACGACCAGCCACACUGGGACUGAGACACGGCCCAGACUCCUACGGGAGGCAGCAGUGGGGAAUUUUGGACAAUGGGCGCAAGCCUGAUCCAGCAAUGCCGCGUGCAGGAUGAAGGCCUUCGGGUCGUAAACUGCUUUUGUACGGAACGAAACGGCGAGCUCUAAUACAGUUUGCUAAUGACGGUACCGUAAGAAUAAGCACCGGCUAACUACGUGCCAGCAGCCGCCGUAA